AAAGAAGGAAAAAAAGAAAGAGAGAGACAGACAGACAGACAGACAGACAGACAGACAGAAAGAGAAAACAUGUUUACAAUAAACUGAGUGUUAUUUUAAGCCUUUACAUAUAUUUAUAUGUUGUAAGCUGUAUGAGAUACAUAUAAUUUAUAUAUUUAUUUAUAUACUACUAAUAAAACUGAAACAUGGAAAGUAAUGUGCCUAAGGCCACAUAGAUACAGCACGCAUACUAAAAUCAAGCUUUCAAAUUGCUUUCUUUGCUUUUCAUUUUUCCAAUUAAUAUGCUAUAGCAUUUGGUAGCCCAGGCUAUGCUUCCACUCUUCCCAUGCCUUCUCUUCCCUCACCCCAUGCCCUCUGAUGUUUGCUCUAUAUAAAAAUUUUUUUGUAUUGAUCUUUUUUUCCCCAAAUAUCUUUUGGGCUGUUUCAAUAGGAACUGUGGGGAGAGAUUAGAUGCUGGUACUUAACCCGUCAUCAUGAACUGGAAAUCACCACAUUAUUCAGACUGAACAUAAUAUAGGGGGUGAGUUUAAUUUAAGUCAGGUUAUUAAUUUUGGAUAGAUUUGGCUUAUUGUAUAUGUUGUUAAGAAUCAUACUUUCCGAGAAGACUGCACACUUACUGAGUUAGAACUUAUUUCAGACACAUAUUUCUGAUUUUUCCUCACACCUGGCCAUACCAAAAACUUUUAAGUCAUAGUUUAAAAUUUUUGUUUGUUGGAUUUUUGGGUUUUGGGUUGGGGUUUUUUGUUUUGGGGGGUUUGGGGGUUUUUUCUUUUUGGUUUGGAGGUUUUUGUUCAUUUUGAAACAGAUGUAGUCUAUUUCUAGCCUAGCCGUAAACUCAUGGAAAUCUUCCUGCUGUGGCCUACCAGUUGCUACAAGUAUAGGCAUGUGUUAUCAUGCCUACUUCAUUCUUUGACUUUGUGACAGAAAAGCAGUUUCUUCCAGGUCUAAGGAUAAGCUUUUGUCUAAUUGUGCUAAAACACAAUUGGAUAUCAAGAUGCAAAGCAAAAGAACCAUAAUCAUACUUCCACACACCUUGUACAAUUAGCAGAUCAAACAUGAUGAUGCAUGCCUGUAUUCUCAGCUACUUAGAAACCUAAGGCUGGAGGAUCAUUCGAACCAGGUUGGAGACAACCUAAACAACAUAGCAAGGUGCCUGUGUCAAGAUAAAAUUAUAAACACUCAGAUUAUAAAUUUAAAAAUCAAACCAGGUACAGUAAACUUAUUUUUAAAAUAUGAGUUGUGGGCCAGCCAAAAACUGGGAGUUUGGGUUAACUAAGAUUUCUCAGAAGCCUGUGAGGUUUCACAGGCCUAUAAUCUCAGCUGCUACAGUGACUGAUCUAAGAUGGUUACAAAUUGAGGAAUGGCCUUGGCUAUAAAUGGUAAGCCUGGGCAAUGGUGAGACCCUGUCUCAAGAUGAAGAAUACAAAGAGAAUUGAGGGUAGGGAUACAUAGCUCAGUUGUAGAGAAAGAACUUGCCUAUGACACACAUGACUAUAGUUUCUUUUUUUUUUUAAAUGCUGAUACCAGAUUGACUGCAUGAUGAGACACCACCACUACCUUUUUACAGGGGGGCGGGGGGCAAAUGAAAUCUGGAAUGGUGAAAAACAGUCUUGUAGGUCAGAGUAUUAGCCCAGAGCUCCAAGUUACAUAAUGACUGCCAAAAAUUAAAGUUUAAAAUAAAUGUCACUGGAGGCUGGAGAAUAGGCUGAGUGGUUAGGAAUACUGGCUGCUCUUCCAGAGGAAACCGGUUCAGUUCCCAAUAAGCAUGUGACAAUUCACAGCCAUUUAUACUUCUAGUUCUAAGAGAUCAGACACUCUCUCCUUAGUAGACAUAAGUAUAUAGACAAACAUGCAAGGAAAGUACCCAUACACAUGAAAUAAAAUUUAUGAAAGCAAAUUACUUUUUUUUCUUAAUAUUUGGUGGAACAUAAAUAGUUAUAUUUAAGAAUCCUAUAGGGAAAACUGGGCAGUGGUGACACUUGCCUUUAAUCCCACCACUUGGGAGGCAGAGGCAGGCAGAUUUCUGAGUUCAACGCCAGCCAGUGCUAUACAGAGAAACCCCCUCGAAAACC
rnacentral:lncRNA from 1 species